GUGGGGAAUAUUGGACAAUGGGCGCAAGCCUGAUCCAGCCAUGCCGCGUGAGUGAUGAAGGCCUUAGGGUUGUAAAGCUCUUUCACCGGUGAAGAUAAUGACGGUAACCGGAGAAGAAGCCCCGGCUAACUUCGUGCCAGCAGCCGCGGUAAUACGAAGGGGGCUAGCGUUGUUCGGAAUUACUGGGCGUAAAGCGCACGUAGGCUGAUAUUAAAGUCAGGGGUGAAAUCCCGGGGCUCAACCCCGGAACUGCCUUUGAUACUGGGUAUCUUGAGUAUGGAAGAGGUCAGUGGAAUUGCGAGUGUAGAGGUGAAAUUCGUAGAUAUUCGCAGGAACACCAGUGGCGAAGGCGGCUGACUGGUCCAUUACUGACGCUGAGGUGCGAAAGCGUGGGGAGCAAACAGGAUUAGAAACCCCAGUAGUCC
rnacentral:rRNA from 1 species